rfam:Myotis davidii contig233352, whole genome shotgun sequence.
GGUGGUUCUUGGGUGACACACCCCAGAAUUGGGCUCCCUCCUCUCUGGUUCUGGGAUGCAUCACCUGACAACUGCU